CCACAAGGAAAUCCCAUCUUGUGAAGUCUUUGGUUCAACUACAUUUGGUGAGGAACUACUAUGAAGCAUCUGAUCACAUCAAAGUGUGUUUUCCAGCAACAUUCAUGCAAAGGAUCCUGAGCAGACAUAAGUGUGCCUGACUUUCUGUGCUAAGAUUAUCAGCAGCCACUCCACAGUAAAAGACUCUUUUGCGUUUUUCCCACUUUUUUCACAUCUUUGAAAUGUAGAAAGUCAUACUUUUGAACAUGUUGAGAGCCAACAGGUGUUGUAACUGAGAUGUUUAAGGUAAGUGCUGUUAGAAGCAGUAACGUACCUGAAUGUCAACACAGCACUUACUGUACGCAGGUUCCACGGAGUAGUUUAUCUUAAAUAGUAGGUUUGGUUAUUUCUUAUGGCAAUAGUAGAGCAGUAGAUGUGGCAGUAGGAAGAGAAAUAGUAAAAUUGAGUGCAAAUGGAAGCUCAUUUCAGUGGAUGUUCAGCUGCUGGAAGAAAGGUGGCUGAGAGAUAAUACAGAUAGCGCAGCAGUCUGUCAGCUACCUUUCUUCGUUAACUUAGACUGCAAUAAACCACAGCUUUUUAAAAUAAAGUUCAAGUAGCCAGAGCCUCUCUGUGGAAAUUAAUUUCCUCUGGAAGCUAGUUUCACGUAACUCAUCACCUACUUCACUGCACGUUAUUCAGCCCUGUCACUGGUGACAGAAGCGCUUGACAGAGCUGCUGGAAACUGGGUCAUGUGGUGGAUAGAACACAGCCCGCUUUCCCGGGAUGCUUUUAGCAUGGACCUCCUGAGAUGGAAGUAAAUAAUAAAUACCUGCAGGUCUCCGUGGGCACUUUGUGUGGUAUUGCUGAGCUCAUCUUUGGUCCAUGAGAAGAGGAGAUCAUGUAACAAUAUAAAUCCAUGAAGUACAUAUGCAGAGAGAAACUUUUGGGCUGCUCGUCUCUGUUUCUGAGCUGUUACUGUGCUGAUUUUUUUCCCAAGUACAAGUGGGUGUGCACUGCUGGACAAUGCAAUUUCUACCCUCACAGGCCUUCUUCCCAGGUUGAGGAUGACUUUUGCGGACUUUAUUGGUGUGGUGGUAGCAGCUGUUGGUCAUUGAUGCCUCACCAGUCACGCUGACAAGAGGAGCCCUGUGGCACUGCUCCUGGAGUGUACGCUAAAGAAUUUUUACCUUUCCUUCCUCACCACUCUGCUUGGAUGCUUUCAUAGCGACGGGAGACAACAUUCGCAUGAUCCCAAAGGUAUGGAGAGAAGCUUAGUCAUAUAGAGAAAAUGCUCCUCACUUUGAAGAUCUCAUUUGAAGGGCUGAUGGAGAAAUGCCCUGAAAUUAAAGAUAUUUUCAGGUUCAGAGAACAAAGGGGGGAAGCACACAGACCCAAGAAAGAAAGAACAUCCUGCAGUUGGAAAAUCACAGGCAUGCUUGCAACCCUCCA